CUGUGGUUUUCUGGAAUGGCCUCGGUUGCACAGAGGGGCGUAGGUGUCUUUUUGGUGUCGUGAAUUUGUCUCCUUUGGGUCGUUGGCUUAUAUGGCAAUUCUAUGAAUGAUGUUUGAAUAUUCAUAAUGGCUGUUUUCUGUUUCCGUCCACAGACAGGCACAUGUACUUUUGGGACCAAGCUGUGGUAGGGGACACAUUGAUACCACUGCAGACAGGAAUGGGGGCAAGAGGCCAAGCUUUGGGGUCAACAGCGAGCUGUUGAGUCAGCCCAGCUCUGCUGCUGGGCUUCCUACUGCAUAGAAUAACAUCCACAGGCACCAUGUGAGCUUGGAUUAGCUCAGCUCCUGUUCUCUCUAGUUAGCCUCCCUGGGGGUGAUCCUCCCUGAUCAGCUACUGCUAAGAUGGGUGGACAAGGAGCUUAAGAAGGGAUUGGGAUCAAAGAGGUAUGUGGAGAGAGGGUUGGGGGUGAUGGGCUGGCAUUCAGCCGCAGGCAGGGCAGGAAGUCUGUUUUUCCAGCCAGAGCUGGAGGAAACCAGUCUUGCAAAGCUGUGGAUGACUCAGAAGGGAGGACAGUGCCGUGUGGGGGCGGAGGCAGAGUGACUGAUCACUUCCCUCCCGCAGACAGGCUUCAUCUUCGGAACAUUCGAUCAGAGGUCUGAGUUCUCUGAGGCUUAUGCCUGCUGAGAGAAGAGGAGGGCUGCCCUGAGGCUUGGAAAUGCUGCCUGAUCUGCUCCAAGGUAGGAUGUGCGCUUUCCAAGCCAGACACUGGCCAUUUCUUCAGCCUGGAAAAUUCUGCAGCCACUGAUGGGGUUAUUUUAAUUAAUUAAUUAAUUAACACCCCAAACGCUGUCCUCCUCCCAGCCAUCCUCUCCCCUUCUUCUCUGAGAGGGUGGGGCUCCCUGGGUGGGAUCCUUCCGCCCUGGUGCAUCAAGUCUACAGGUUUAGGUGCAUCCUCCACUGAUGGGAUUCUUAGAAAAUCCCAAGUCCUCUUAAGAAGAAGACAAGGAGGAGAAUGAAGUUUGUAAGGCUCUCCAGUUACCAGGAACAACUGAACGCUGUGUUAUGAAAGUAGCCCCAGUACCGCCCCUGGUGGCAGGAGUGGAACGGAUCAGCAUCCCCCCCAACCCUCCCUCCCCCUGCCCUUGUUGGCAGGGGUGGACUGAGCCAGUACAUCCCCCUGCUGUGGAACAGGCCAGCUCUGCCCCUGUUGGCAGGGGUGGAACGGACCAGCACGCCCCCUGCUGGCAGAGGUUGAAUGGACAGGGCUCAAUGUGAGCCACGAGUCACAGAGACUGGAUGAAAGAAGAGAUUGUUGAAUUAAGCUUCUGUCUACAGAGCUAUGCUGAGAUCUGCAGAGGAACACAGGGGUUGCCUCAGGAGCUGGCUGGUGACAUCUGUCAGGAGGAACAAAGCCUUGAGUGCCCGGGUGCAAGCUUGCCUAGGUAGAAGGCUUACCCGGCCACACCCAAUGCUCAGCUAAUCCCAGCAGGAGGCCUGCCAAGCGAGCUUUGCAUCUGCAAAUCCGUGCCACAGAGGACAGGGAUGUCAGAGAGGUGAAACGACACGCUCAGGAUCACCGAAGUAGGAUGGGGGCAGGAAGGAAAUCUGCCUCAACCCAUCUCUUUAUGCACCACCACACCCUGAGAUCAGACAGACUGCAGAAGGCCAGCGGCUCUGCCUAGGCCGUGCCCCUCUGCACUGAGGGGCUCUCUGGGGCCCAGGCUUUGAGGAGACUUCAUCCUCAGCCAGAAGCAGACCUGAUUACCCUCUGAUUACCUGGGACUGGAGACUAGGGCCAUCCUAUGGGAGAUGUUUUCUGGUGGGACUUAGCUGGGAAGGGACCCGCGGGUGCAGUUGCCAUUUAGUGACCACCUACUGUGUGCCAUGCACGUCUCAAACACAGUCUUUUUCACAUCCCAAUAUUUGUCAAAGGGCUCUGCAUCUCUGACUUGUGGCUUUGAGUGUGGAGAACAGCGGGAUAAUAUACCUGAUGUGUCAUCGGCAGCCAGAUCCUGCUAAGGUCAAAUCACUGUGGGUUGUAAUUGUCACUUAAGACGCCCAGUGUUUCUCAAUCUUAGGUUCCUAUGACAGCUGGCAACGGAUAAGUGUGUAGAGGAGGGAAGUAGUGGGGUAAAAGUGUCCUGGCACAUGGUUCCAGCUGUCCCCUGUCCUACCCAGCAGAAAGAGCACGCAGAAUGACAAGGCUGGAAAAUGGAAAAAAAAAAAAAAAAAAAAAAAGAGGUGCUGCAGGUUGUGCUGUAGUUGCUUUGGGCGGACUGAAGGUGGCGCUCACGGUACUGCAGGCUCCACACGAAAAUGUGAGGCUAGCCCAGCUUCUCCAACACCCUGGAGGUGGGGGAUGUGCGGGGCUCUACAUCUGCACAGAGCCUCUUUCCAGCCCCUGUCUGACCACCUGGACAAAGGAGUCAGGAUGAGGGCACUUCCUAACCUACUUGUUUCCUAAUACAAAGUUACAUUCUGUCUGAAGGCAGGGCAAGCCACAGCAAGGUGCCGGGCCACACUAAGGAUGGUUUAGACCAGGGCAGCCACAGGACACGUGUUUCGGGUUUAGAAACACAAAUGGUGCAAGCGUGUGCAGUCUAAGGAUGACACACACCACGGUACCAUGUUGUCUUUAUAGAUGUCCAGUUCUGCAGUGACCCACCCUGCACACAGCAGCCCCCCCUCAGCACCCCAGCAGCACCUGGCUUCCAGAAACCUCCAGGCGCCCCGCAGACAAAACAUCUCUCACCAAUGUGUGAGCGUCCUCGUGGGGGAGCUGCAGGUCUUUCUUUCCCAGAGCCUGAAGACUGGCCGGGGGGCUUAUGCCCCUAAUUCUUUUCUCCCUUUCAGAAUUUGGGAUUUUGCUUUCAUUGUUAACCUGGGGGUUGAAACGGGUACCCUAGCUUAACACACACACACACACACACACACACACACACACACACACUCACACACUUUUUCUUUGAAAAGUAAGGAUGCAUAUUAUUGUUUUUUUAAAGACCCUGAAAGGACUGGCCACACAGUGGGUGCUCAAGUGUCGCCUCCCUUCCGGUGCUGGGGCUUGUUUCGUGUUCAUUAAAUGCGCCUUGCAGACAGGCUUAAAAAUCUUGUUUCCUCUCCCCAUCGACGGAAAUGUCUCUCUCAUAAGUAACAUUUUAAACAUCUCGAUAACAUGCUCACAGGUGUGUGAACUGUAGUUUAUUUGAAUCUUCCAUUACUGUACUUUUAGUCUGUUUUCAAUUUUUCUCCUAAUAAAUGAUACGGCUGAUGUCUUUA